CAGUAGCCGCGGGAAUACGAAGGGUGCAAGCGUUACUCGGAAUUACUGGGCGUAAAGCGUGCGUAGGUGGUGGUUUAAGUCCGUUGUGAAAGCCCUGGGCUCAACCUGGGAAUUGCAGUGGAUACUGGGUCACUAGAGUGUGGUAGAGGAUAGUGGAAUUUCCGGUGUAGCAGUGAAAUGCGUGGAGAUCGGAAGGAACAUCUGUGGCGAAGGCGACUAUCUGGGCCAACACUGACACUGAGGCACGAAAGCGUGGGGAGCAAACAGGAUUAGAUACCCCUGUAGUCCCUGUCUCUUAUAC
rnacentral:rRNA from 1 species